UCUGUCUGUCUGUCUCUCUCUCUCUCUCUCUCUCUCUCUCUCUCUCUCUCUCUGUCUCUCUCUCUCUGGGUCCUCUUGCUGCUUCUCUGACAUGAUUGUCUCCACUCCCCUUCCCAGAAACUGCCUGGGUCUACCGCUGGCCCACCCUUGUUUAGACCUUUAAUAAAACUGUCCCUGAGCUUCCUUCUGGGUCCGUUUUAAAAUUCUUUUAUUAAUGAGUCUUCCAGCCCCCCCAAAGGAGCCUCAGGGUCCUUGAUAAGACCUUGUUGCUUCAGCUACUCAGAGGAUUUCUUCCUCUGAGAUUUAUUUGUAUUAUUUUUAAUUAUGUGAGUGUGUGCACACGAGUGCAUUACCCUCAGAGGCUCUUAGAACUGGAGCCACUGAUCUGGUGCUGGGGACCAAACCCAGGUCAUCUACAAGAGCAGCAAGUGUUCUUAAGCCCUGAGUCAUCUCUCCCGCCCAGGGAGACUCUUGAGUUUGUCCUGUAAACUACAUAAACAUGCCUGAGGGGGCAUUGUGCUCCUUGUGGACACCGUGAGACCAGGCUGCUGUGUGAACUAAUGUGGAGAAGGAGAUUAUAUAAGCUCACAGAAAACACCAGGAAGGUUUCCUGAAGGAGUGCCCUUCAGAGUCAACCUUGAAGUCAACUGUCUUUGAAUCAGAGAAACAGAAGACCAACCGGGAAGGCUCUUGGUUCAGGUUACACAGCUGCCUCCCAGCGAAGUGUCCCGAUGCCCACACAAGUGUUUUCUGGUGUAGAAGACGCAGUGGACAACACAGCAGAGUCCCCAGUUUACUGAACGGAGAGACUUCCAACGGGAGGACAGAGAAAGGGCCUCACCACCUAUCCAGGUCUGCAUAGAUCAGAAAAUCCCCCAGGCCACUGUGGACAUCACUCCUUCUGGACUGGAAGCCCUGGGAUGAUUCCCCUCUCCUUUGGUAUGUAUGAUGCCUCAAAGGAAGAAGUAAAUCACCCAACCAGUGGCCAAGGCUGCAGGGUUUGUUCACCAACACAAGAAGCAUUCCUCUGCCUGUGAUAAGUCCUUGGCUCAUGCUGACCCAGUCUUGCUGCAAGCCGACUCUUCACAUGUGGAUCUCCCCCUUCCCACAGGGCCCUGUCUUGGGUACUUGCUCAGUUCUAUAUCCAAUGAUCUCUGGAAAUGUCACAUUUUCCUGGUGCAUUUUGGUAUGCCUCUUGACCUCACUUAGCAAGGAUCCCAGAGAGGAGUAUGACCCCAGAAGGUGCAUCAGCGAGGCAGUGCCUCGGAUGGCCAGACCUCACUGACACCUGGAAAGAAGGCAGCCAUGAGUAUUCUGGACCUGGGGACCCUGCACUGCUGGGCAAUGUCCCUGAACGGGGCUGUUAAGGGAGCAACAGCUGACAGAAAGCUUGUGUGGGCUCCCUGCAGGUGCGUAUGAUACCCAUGAUCUGCCUUUGCUGAAUCUACAAAUGGGAGUUCCCAGGCCAUGAGGGGGAGAGUCAGCUAGCCAGAAGGACAGACAGAUGAGCAAAUGGGUGUGUGGACACAGGAGCCCGCAUAGCACAGCAUAAGACCUGCUGUAUCGCAGACAUUACGUUACUGCACACACACACGCAGGCACACACACCACGUUGGCCACAGUCUGGACAGUGCACAUCCAACACCCCAGGAUGUCUUUGCCAAGCAUCUAAAAUACCAAGGAUGCUGUAUCAGCAAGCAAACCAGAGAUCAUCACCAACAAGUCACCACAGACCCUGAGGCUGUGGAACAGGAGGCCAGCCACAUCCUUGCUAAGUUCUCUCAACCCUGAGAUCCUCCUCAAGCUGCCUCAACUUCGAGGGCUCACCCAAAAGGGCUUGUUUCCAAACACAUUAGCUAGCAGAGUCCCACACUCCCUGUUCCUGGGUGUGGAGCGAUGGGGACCUGUGUUCCUCACUGGCCACUAGCUAGGUAGGGCUCCCGUCAGUCUUGCCAUGUGAGUCUCUCAUAUGACAGACUGAAAAAUGAGCAGUGCCAUCAAAGCCACUGUGCUGGUUGGCUUUUGUCAACAUGACACAGGUCUGGACUUGCUUGGAAAGUGAAAAAUCUCAAUUGAGAGACUGUCUCUGUCAGAUGGGCCUACAGACAAGUCUGUGAGGUGUUUUCUUAAUCAGCAGUCAAUGUGGAAGAGCCCAGCUCCCUGUGGAUGGUGCCACCCCCGGGGAGGUGGUUCUGGGUUGUAUAACAAAGUAAACUGAACAAGCUACAGGGAGCAAGCCAGUAAGCGGCACCCCUCCAUGGCCUCUGCAUCAGCUCCUGCCUCCAGGUUCCUGCCCUGACUUCCUUCAGUGAGUGCCUGUAAUGAGGAAGUGUACGCUGAAUUAACCCUUCCUUCCCCAAUUUGGUUUGCUCAUGGUGUUUUAUCACAGCCAUAGAAACUCCAAGACAGCUGGUGUCAGGCAUGGUGUCCAGAGAGGCUCCCAGUGUGCAGGCAGAUGUGCUAAGACUCUGUACCAAUACUGCACCAUGCACACAGGACAGGCUUCGGUGUCGGUGAGUCACUCUGUCCAGAGAGUGGUGGAAUCUGUCCAUGUCUACAUUCAUGGACCAGGCAAUUUGCCGAGAAAGAAGCUUUUUCUGAGAUCUAUCUUUUUCCCAUUUCAAAGCAAAUCUUUGGUCAUAUUGUGGGGAAACUAAACAUGUUAAAAACAGGGAAAAAAUAUCCAAAUUGCCCAGAAACAAACAGGCUUUUGUUGAAGAGUGUGUGUGUGUGUAUGUGUGUGUGUGUCUAUGUGUGUGUACUGUUAUUCAGGAUUUUUGAAUAUUCUUUAGAACAGCAAUUAUCAAAUUCAGUAAACUCCAAGAUUUGUGGAGUUUUCUUUCUGAUUCUAAAAAAUUAAACUUGUUUUGUACAGUUAAUUGAUUAGUUAAUAUGCACUAAUUGAUUAGUUAAUAUGCACUAAUAAAAAGAAAAACAAUAAGCACAGGGGUUGAACAUUCAUGGAGAGCAAAUGGGACCGAGCAGUCUGAAACUAAGUC